UUACAGAUCUGUGGCAGCGUGAAGAGAAGGCAGGAGGUCUACCUAACGCAGCAAAAAGGAAGCCAUCAGGCUAAUGUUUGGUAGCAGAGAGCUGUUUGCAACUGGGAGAAAGGCUUUGUGUAUGGCUACACUCAGAAAUGCUCACAAAUUCCAGCUAGCACAGUAUCGUCUGUGAUUGGCACUGCGUAACAUCUACGUUUGAGAUAUUUCUGUGCUCUGACCAGAAAAAUCCCAGUUGAAUCCAACUCUUGAUCUUCAUGGAGGGGCCCCUCACAAAGGAGAUGCUGAUGUUGUCUGUCAGCUUGGAGCUUCAUCCUCCCAUCAGUUAGUUACCAGUCCUGCUGCUACAUCAGCCUCUUGCGGAUGGUGACCAAAAUCACAUCUGUAUGCUGCUACAUGGAUUGCCAGUAUGACCAGACUUGCUUGUAUACCUCCUUAAUUUCAUUGAGUCACACGAGGUGAAUAUCCUGACCUGAGCAAAGAAGGAGCAGGAGUUGUGCUGAAGAACUUGACAUACUUAGCAUCACUAAGUUUUUAAACCACUACUGCAAUGCUCUUUCUUAGCCAAAUAGGUCCAGCUGUAUUAAUUAUGGAGGGAGCUAAUUCGUCUCUAAAAGAAAAAUACAUUUAUGACAGUAUCCUAACUUGUUUUUGAGAGAGGGAAUAAACUUCUGGAUUUCAUUAAAGUGAGUUUUCUUCCAAUAUAUCACUGUGCUCCCACCAAACCAAGUUAUAAAAUUGCUCUGGGAGCAAGGGUAGGCCACUUAAGAAAACCUGGCCUCACAUUCCUUGUCAUUUCUCACAUCCAUCCAAGAUGGUUGGAACAUCAACUCUUACUUCCAUAGUUUAAGAAUAUCCUUGCCAUUUGGAGCUUUUGGUUACGUGGCCAGCUAUCAUUCUACUAGGAUGAGAGCUGACUGGGUUGUAAUUAACUGGACACUUCCAUUUAUCUCUUCAUGCUGGAUCAACAUGGUAAAAUGAAGACUACAUGUUUAAAGCACUUGAAAGGCAGUAAACUUUAAAGUGGCAUCUAAUCAACCUGUGGAAUUUGUUGCUGUGGGACAUGGAGGCAAACAGUUUGAGAGUCAGGGUAGGAUUAAACAUUUGAAUAGGAAUAAUACCUGCAGUUAACUUGCGAGGUUAAAGUAUUAUGAGGUUUAUCAGUUCUUUUGCUUCUGGGCAUAAACUGCCAUCUCAGUUUGUGAAAGAACUUGU